AAACUUUAUUAUAAGUCAGUUUUUCAUUGUUUUGCACACAAUACUGCAUGUUAACACAACACUAAGUCAUGUGACUCAACACCUGUCCCCCACCUUUGCUCUUUGAUCGACAGCAGAAAUCAAAGUGUCUUAAAAAAUCUUCCAUCGCUAAAUGAAACGGUGCCUGUGCAGCAGCUCGAGUUCAACCUUGUGAGAAGGAAACAUGUAAAGCACACGGAAGCUGAGCUGUCACUACUUCAUAUUCCAGCUCGUGUACAACGUGAUAAUUGUGCACACUUACUAAUAAAAACACUUUGAUUGUGUAAAUAUCAUUACAUUAAAAUUCAAUUAGAGAGGUGUAGUUUGAUUCUUACACAGAAAGCAACACAAGUGCUUUCAGUCACAGUAAAAUGUUCAAAAAUAAAUGAUUCAUUUCAUCAUUUUCUAAUAUUAGAUUUAAAGGUUUUCGGUUAAAAUUAGCCAAAAAAGUAAAAACUUUAACGUUCACCAUCAUUAUCAGCAGGUUAGCACAUCACUGUCAAAAACUAAACUAUACACAGUAGCUGCGUUUGGCCUCAUUGGUACUUUUAAAUGGAUUUUCCUGUUAUUACUGUGCAACUACCCGCUGUCAGUGCCGAGCUUUGCUUGGUUAGUCCGUGGUAUUAUAUUAUUAAAUACCUCAGUUAUUACCAUGUUGUUAAUGAGCUGCAUGCAGAGAACUGUGAAAACAUGCUGAAUGAACAUAUGUGUAAAAAUGCAGGUUUAAGUUAUCACACACGGCUGUUUGGACACUUCUGAUCCCUCUGAAGGAUUUCACUAACCAACACCAAGAGGUGUGGCCGUAUCUGUGACAGCGUCCUACAAACGUUUGGAUGCUUCAGUAAUUUGCAAUAAACCUAAAAGACAACAAGCUUUUGUCUUCAUUUUUUAAAAACAUGAAGACAAACGGACAGGUGUUGUGACACAACGUGACCAAAAUCUAUCACCAUAAUCUAGAAAUUUCUCCAAAGAUGCUCCAUUUGUGCUUUUCAAUCUACUCGCACAUCGUCAUUUACAUGUGAACAUGCUUGAGAGUAGAACAGCCCCAUCACUGGGCACAUUGUAAACAUAAUUAUUACUCAUAUUAUUCACUACCAGGAAACAGAAACCACAAGGACCGCACAGUCCUGCAUGGAGAUUUGCAUGCAAAACAACAGUUCAUGCAUCUGCCUGACCUGGAGAUAAAAACUGUGGAGGAUGCAGACGUCUGUGAAGGCAGCGCACUUGUUCCUCUGGCAGAGAUCCGA
ensembl:lncRNA